GAUGAAGAACGUAGCGAAAUGCGACAAGUAAUGUGAAUUGCAGAAUUCCGUGAAUCAUCGAGUCUUUGAACGCACAUUGCGCCCCCUGAUAUUCCGGGGGGCAUGCCUGUCCGAGCGUCAUUGCUGCCCUCAAGCACGGCUUGUGUGUUGGGCCUCCGUCCUCCUCCCGGGGGACGGGCCCGAAAGGCAGCGGCGGCACCGCGUCCGGUCCUCGAGCGUAUGGGGCUUCGUCACCCGCUCUUGUAGGCCCGGCCGGCGCUUGCCGACACAUCAAUCUUUUUUCCAGGUUGACCUCGGAUCAGGUAGGGAUACCCGCUGAACUUAAGCAUAUCAAUAAGCGGAGGA
rnacentral:misc_RNA from 1 species